rnacentral:tRNA from 1 species
UGCCGGGUGGUGCAAUGGUAGCACAUCUGGCUCUGGACCAGAGGAGUGGAGGUUCGAGUCCUCCCCCGGCAG